GCCGAGGUGGUGGAAUUGGUAGACACGCGACGCUUAAACCGUCGUGAACGAAAGUUCGUGUGGGUUCGAUUCCCACCCUCGGCA
rnacentral:tRNA from 1 species